UGGAAGGACUUUAUUUUUUUAGGUAGCAUUUGGUUCGGGAGCAAGGGGGGAAUAAGCCUUUGUUUUUCCCUUUGUUCCCAAACGCAGCGUUUGGUACCCAAGAACAGUAGUUUUUGGAUUUCUGGAAUAAGUCGGUAUAAAGCUAGAACUGUUGUUCCAUCUUUUUCCUGGAACAAGCUUGUUUCCAGGUGAAAAUAAGAUUAACUAAAGUUUAAAAAUAAUGUUAAUUAUGGUAUUAAUUAAUUAAUUAAUUUAAUUAAUAUAUUUAAAUCAUUAUUUAAUGAGUAAUAAUAAAAUAAUUUAUUAAUUUAUUAUUAUAAUUAUUAAUUAAAUUAUUAUUAUUUAUAAUUAUUUAUUAAUUUAUAAUUAAUUAUUAAUUAAUUUAUUAAUUUAUAAUUAACUAAUUUAUCAUUUAUUUAUUCUUAAUUAAUUAAUAUAUUAUUAAUUAAUUAUUUCAUUUAGGGGAAACUUCAAAUAC
rnacentral:lncRNA from 1 species